rnacentral:rRNA from 1 species
AAAGUUAAACGGCCGCGGUAUCCUGACCGUGCAAAGGUAGCAUAAUCACUUGUUCCUUAAUUAGGGACUAGUAUGAAUGGCUAAACGAGGACUUAACUGUCUCUUAUUCUGUAUCAGUGAAAUUGACCUUCCAGUGAAGAGGCUGGAAUUCUUCAAUAAGACGAGAAGACCCUAUGGAGCUUAAAUCAAUUAACUUAAUUUUUAUCUAUUCCAUCCUACUGGCCUAAAAACAAAAAUAUAAGUUAAAAAUUUUGGUUGGGGUGACCUCGGAGAACAAAAAAUCCUCCGAAUGAUUUUAGCACAGACUAACAAGUCAAAGCAAUAUUCUAAAUCUUAUUGACCCAAAAAUUUUUGAUCAACGGACCAAGUUACCCUAGGGAUAACAGCGCAAUCCUAUUUGAGAGUCCAUAUCGACAAUUAGGGUUUACGACCUCGAUGUUGGAUCAGGACAUCCUAA